AUGCCAAUGCCGUGGAUGCCUCCCUAUGCUCAUAUAGAUACAUAUUCAUCAUGGGACAGGUAUGAUACAAGGGCACAUUCUCCAUCUUAUUUUAGACCAUCUCACCAAUAUUAUGCAGCUCCAAGAAGAUCAACAUCUGAACAAUCACAUGUUAAAGACCGUUUCAAUCAUAAUGAAUCGGUCCCGAGCUCAAGGAAGAAGAAAGAGGUGGUCAAACAAGUUUACCUCAUUAAAAGAGAUGGUCGUAAGAGUGUUACUUCAGAUUUGAUCUCAAAUGAAAAAGAGCCAAUGAAAGUGUUGACAUUGGCUACUAAAGGCAAUGAGAUGGAGCAACCAAUUAUUGAGAGUCAAAGUGCCAAAUCUGAAGAAAAGAAGUUGAGAGUGCACAAGGCCAAGAAAGAAUUGCCAUUGGCCAAAACAGAAUCACAGCCGAGAUGCCCAUUCGGCUUAUCAUAUUGGCAAAAGAAGGAAUUACAAAAUCUUAGUGCACAAGAGCUGAGAAAGAGGAACAUGGCAUGGGUUCCCAAGAGGAUCAAUCAUAACAAAAACGAUGUGCAUGCUUCAAUUGCAACAAGUACAAUGAAAGUGAAGAAAGAGAAGGAUGGAAGUAACAAACAAUUAAGCCGAAGGUGUGCAUCACAACAUCAAAAUCUUCGGUUAGCACAACAUCCAUUUUCUUCAACAAUGCCAUUGAUGCCUUUGCCAUGGAAUUCAUCCACAGGUAUGAUCCAUCACCCUCCAUGGACUUACUUUGAUCCAUGGAUGCAACAUAAUUUUUUAUAUCAUGACAGAGUAUUACCAAAUCACUAUACAUUUGGUUAG
rnacentral:rRNA from 1 species